rnacentral:rRNA from 1 species
CCUACGGGAGGCAGCAGUGGGGAAUAUUGGGCAAUGGGCGCAAGCCUGACCCAGCAACGCCGCGUGAAGGAAGAAGGCUUUCGGGUUGUAAACUUCUUUUCUCAGGGAAGAAGAAAGUGACGGUCCCUGAGGAUUAAGCCACGGCUAACUACGUCCCAGCAGCCGCGGUAAUACGUGGGUGGCAAGGGUUAUCCGGAUUUAUUGGGUGUAAAGGGUGUGUAGGCGGUUUUUAAAGUUAGUGGUUAAACGUCGGGGCUUCACCGUGAUUUGCCAUUGAUACUGUAAGACUCGAGUUCAGACGAGGUAGGCGGAAUAAGUGAAGUAGCGGUGAAAUGCUUAGAUAUAACGUAGAACACCGAUAGCGAAGGCAGCUUACCAGACGGCGACUGACGCUGAAGCACGAGAGCGUGGGUAGCGAACAGGAUUAGAUACCCGUGUAGUC